UGGGGAAUAUUGGACAAUGGGGGCAACCCUGAUCCAGCAAUGCCGCGUGUGUGAAGAAGGUCUUCGGACUGUAAAGCACUUUCGACGGGGACGAUGAUGACGGUACCCGUAGAAGAAGCCCCGGCUAACUUCGUGCCAGCAGCCGCGGUAAUACGAAGGGGGCUAGCGUUGCUCGGAAUGACUGGGCGUAAAGGGCGUGUAGGCGGUUUACACAGUCAGAUGUGAAAUCCCCGGGCUUAACCUGGGAGCUGCAUUUGAUACGUGUAGACUAGAGUGUGAGAGAGGGUUGUGGAAUUCCCAGUGUAGAGGUGAAAUUCGUAGAUAUUGGGAAGAACACCGGUGGCGAAGGCGGCAACCUGGCUCAUGACUGACGCUGAGGCGCGAAAGCGUGGGGAGCAAACAGGAUUAGA
rnacentral:rRNA from 1 species